rnacentral:rRNA from 1 species
AUUGAACGCUGGCGGCAGGCCUAACACAUGCAAGUCGAACGAGUGGCGGACGGGUGAGUAAUGUCUGGGAAACUGCCCGCUGGAGGGGGAUAACUCCUGGAAACGGUAGCUAAUACCGCAUACCAUCUGAUGUGCCCACAUGGGAUUAGCUAGUAGGUAGGGUAACGGCUCACCUAGGCGACGAUCCCUAGCUGGUCUGAGAGGAUGACCAGCAACACUGGAACUGAGACACGGUCCAGACUACUACGGGAGGCAGCAGUGGGGAAUAUUGCACAAUGGGCACAAGCCUGAUACAGCCAUGCCGCGUGUAUGAAGAAGGCCUUCGGGUUGUAAAGUACUUUCAGCGAGGAGGCGUUACUCGCAGAAGAAGCACCGGCUAACUCCGUGCCAGCCGCCGCGGUAAUUC